GCAGGAGUGACUGAAUGGUUACGCUGUUCGCUUUUUAAGCGGAUGAUCAUGAGUUCAUUUCCCAUCUGCUCCU
rnacentral:tRNA from 1 species